UACGUAGGGUGCAAGCGUUGUCCGGAAUUAUUGGGCGUAAAGAGCUCGUAGGCGGUUCGUCGCGCCGGCUGUGAAAACCCGGAGCUCAACUCCGGGCCUGCAGUCGAUACGGGCGGACGUUGAGUUGUGCAGGGGAGGACUGGAAUUCCGUGGUGUAGCGGUGAAAAUGCGCAGAUAUCGGGAGGAACACCGGUGGCGAAGGCGGUUCUCUGGGCCGCAACUGACGCUGAGGAGCGAAAGCAUGGGGGAGCGAACAGG
rnacentral:rRNA from 1 species